AAAAUGACUAAGACGAGGAGCAAGGAAAGAUAUCACCUUUACGGAUCCAAACUUGUCGGAUCGUUGGUUUUCUCGACUUGUCGACGUUAGGUGACGUUUGUUUAGACUUUUGAUCAACCGUUGGUGUUUUCUUCGGUUGAGGCUUGUGCACCUGUUUUGCAUGAACUUGGCGUUGUGCAUUAGAAGACCGGUUCGCUUGUGGCUUAGGUAAGAUCCGAUUCUUUUGAGGCACUUGACUUAAAUUAUUUUGCUUUUGAUUCCGUGGGAAAUGUCGAAUAGUAGAUGACGCCGAUGGAUGUUUUGAAUUUGCCGAUUGUGACUUGCCAUUUUUGUUUGGGCAAUUCCUUUUGAUGUGUCCUUCGAUGCCACAUCGAUGACACACUUUGCCUUUUGAAGUUGUUGAGACUUUAGAUGUCGCCGUUUGAUCCUUCUCAACAUAUGUCCGUUCAUAUCCAAGACCC
rnacentral:lncRNA from 1 species